rnacentral:rRNA from 1 species
ACUCGAGUGGCGAACGGGUGAGUAACACGUGGGUGAUCUGCCCUGCACUUCGGGAUAAGCCUGGGAAACUGGGUCUAAUACCGGAUAGGACGAUGGUUUGGAUGCCAUUGUGGAAAGUUUUUCGGUGUGGGAUGAGCUCGCGGCCUAUCAGCUUGUUGGUGGGGUAAUGGCCUACCAAGGCGGCGACGGGUAGCCGGCCUGAGAGGGUGGACGGCCACAUUGGGACUGAGAUACGGCCCAG